AUUUUGAAAUAAAAAAAACAUAUACUAAAAUUGGAACAACACAGAGAAGAUCAGUAUGGCCCCUGCGCAAGGAUGACAUACAAAUUCGUGAACUGUUCCAUAUUUUU